UACGAAGGGGGCUAGCGUUGCUCGGAAUCACUGGGCGUAAAGCGCACGUAGGCGGACUCUUAAGUCGGUGGUGAAAUCCUGGAGCUCAACUCCAGAACUGCCUUCGAUACUGAGAGUCUCGAGUCCGAGAGAGGUGAGUGGAACUGCGAGUGUAGAGGUGAAAUGCGUAGAUAUCGGGAGGAACACCAGUGGCGAAGGCGACUACCUGGCCUGUUCUUGACGCUGAGGCGCGAAAGCUAGGGGAGCAAACGGG
rnacentral:rRNA from 1 species